rnacentral:misc_RNA from 1 species
GUGAAGAAUUAGAAUCGAACUAAACAUUAAAAUAACUUUGGUACGGUUCUUCGGUUCGGUACAGGAACCUCAAGAACCAUGCACUGCCCUAGUUGUGAUUUUGAUUAUGAGGUGCAAUAGCAGAAGGAUGAGGAUUUGAGACGUAGUUGUGAUAGUGAGGAGCAGAAUGUGCCUUAUUGGUAAUUUUUAUAAAUUUUGAUUUCCUAUGUGCAUAUAUGAAUUUCAUUUAUAUUAGAAAAGUGAAAGGUGACAACAAGGAAUUGAUUUUGUUUAUUUUAUCAAAUCAAACAUUGGUAUUUUCCUUUUGCUUUCAACCAAAAUAAGGGCAAAAGGAGAAAAAAAAGUAAGCUAAUUAAACAAAAUCUAAAUUGUUAUGUGCUGGCAAUAUGUGUAGGUUAUUAUGACACCUGCAAAGAUACUCGUUAGGUAUUUUAAGAGGAUAAUCUGGGGUCUUGAGGUCAUUUUGGGACCAGGUGGUACAAUAUUAUCCCUGACCAUUCAUGUUUAAAACCUACCUCAAGCCUUGCCUGGUACUGGUCAAGCAUGCUUCAACUCAGUGUGAUUGAUAAAGAUUGAUCUGCAGGCUGUUCUGAAUUUACCAUCUGUAUUGUGUGAUUGAAUAAACCAGAAUGAGAACUGCUUUAUAGUGAAAAUGGAAUUUUUAAAAUUCCAUUGAACUUUUAUCAUCUUUAUCUGUUAUCUGGACUAUGUUUUGUCCUCCACCCAAGAAAGGAAAAGAUAGCGUUGUUUUGGAAACACACCAAAGAAGUUGGGAAAAUAAAACCCUUAAUUUGCCAGCAACUCUUUUAUGGAUGGUACAGUGACAAGUUAGUGAUCUAGUUAUUUGGCUGACUUACACAUUAUUUUCAGUCUUUUCAUCUUGCUACUUUUGUUUGUUUCUUUUUAAAUGAUGUUCAUGCAGUAUUAUUUUAAGCUUUACAUGCUUGAUUUCCUUCUAAAUAUUUUUAAUUAUUUUCCUGCUAGCAUGUGAAACUGUGUGUACUCUCUUUUUUUUUUUUUUUUUUU